rnacentral:rRNA from 1 species
UGAGUACGAGCGGCUACGGCCGCGAAGUGGAUGAUGUCAAGCUUCCAAGAAAAGCCCUAUACCCGUUAAGGCAUGAUGGCCUGUACCCGAAACCGACACAGGUGGGGUGGUAGAGAAUACCGAGGGGCGCGAGGUAACUCUCUCUAAGGAACUCGGCAAAAUGGCCCCGUAACUUCGGGAGAAGGGGUGCCACCGCGAGGUGGUCGCAGUGAAGAGGCCCAGGCGACUGUUUACCAAAAACACAGGUCUCCGCUAAGUCGCAAGACGAUGUAUGGGGGCUGACGCCUGCCCAGUGCCGGAAGGUUAAGGAAGCUGGUCAGCGCAAGCGAAGCUGGCGACUGAAGCCCCGGUGAACGGCGGCCGUAACAAUAACGGUCCUAAGGUAGCGAAAUUCCUUGUCGGGUAAGUUCCGACCCGCACGAAAGGCGUAACGAUCUGGGCGCUGUCUCGGAGAGAGGCUCGGCGAAAUAGAAUUGUCUGUGAAGAUGCGGACUACGUGCACCCGGACAGAAAGACCCUAUGAAGCUUUACUGUAGCUUGGUAUUGUGCUCGGGCUCGGAAUGCGCAGGAUAGGUGGGAGGCUUUGAUCCAUUGCUUGCGGGUGAUGGUGAGCCACUGGUGAGAUACCACUCUUUCCGAGCUAGAGUUCUAACAGCAACCCGUUAUCCGGGUGCUGGACAGUAUCAGGUGGGCAGUUUGACUGGGGCGGUCGCCUCCUAAAAGGUAACGGAGGCGCGCAAAGGUCUGCUCAGGCUGGUUGGAAAUCAGCCGACGAGUGUAAAAGCAGAAGCAGGCUUGACUGUGAGACCUACAAGUCGAACAGGGAGGAAACUCGGCUUUAGUGAUCCGACGGUUCUGCGUGGAAGGGCCGUCGCUCAACGGAUAAAAGUUACUCUAGGAUAACGGGCUGAUCUCCCCCAAGAGUUCACAUCGACGGGGAGGUUUGGCACCUCGAUGUCGGCUCAUCGCAACCUGGGGCUGAAGUCGGUCCCAAGGGUUGGGCUGUUCGCCCAUUAAAGCGGUACGCGAGCUGGGUUCAGAACGUCGUGAGACAGUUCGGUCCAUAUCCGGUGCACGCGCAGGAAUAUUGAGAGGAUUUCUCCCUAGUACGAGAGGACCGGGAGGAACGCACCUCUGGUGUGCCAGUUAUCGUGCCAACGGUAAACGCUGGGUAGCCAUGUGCGGAGUGGAUAACCGCUGAAAGCAUCUAAGUGGGAAGCCCACCUCAAGAUGAGUAUUCCCAUGGCAUAAGCCAGUAAGGUCACGGGAAGAACACCCGUUGAUAGGCUCUACGUGGAAGCGCAGUAAUGUGUGAAGCGGAGGAGUACUAAUAGACCGAGGGCUUGACC